rnacentral:rRNA from 1 species
GAUGAACGCUGGCGGCGUGCCUAAUACAUGCAAGUCGAGCGGACAGACGAGGCGUUUGCUCCGCUGACGUUAGCGGCGGGCGGGUGAGUCACACGUGGAUACCCUACCUAUAAGACUGGGAUCACUUCGGGAAAGCGGAGCUCAUACCGGAUAAUAUAUUGAUCCGCGUGGUUCAUUAGUGAAAGUCGGUUUUGCUGUCACUAAUAGCUGGAUCCGCGCCGCAUUAGCUAGUUGGUAAGGUAACGGCUUACCAAGGCAAGGAUGCGUGGCCGACCUGAGAGAGGGGUCGGCGACACGGGAACUGAGCCACGGUCCAUACGACUACGGGAGGGAGCAGAAGGGAAUCUUCGGCAAUGGGCGAAAGCCUUACGGAGCAACGCCGCGCGAGAGAUAAAGGUCUUCGGAUCGGAAAACUCUGUUAUGGGGGAAGAACAAAUGUGUAAGUAACUAUGCACUUCUUGACGGUACCUAAUCAAAAAGCCACGGCUAACUACGUG